rnacentral:tRNA from 2 species
AUUUUAAUAGCUUAAAUUUUAGAGUUUUGUAUUGAAGAUACAUUGGUGAAUUAUUUCUUAAAAUA